UACUCGGAGUCCGAGUGAUGACCGCUAUUAUUGGGUCUAAAGCGUCCGUAGCCGGCUUUUUAAGUCCCUGGUGAAAUCUGGCAGCAAACUGUCAGGCGUGCUGGGGUUACUGAAGGGCUCGAGACCGGGAGAGGGCAUAGAUACUCGUGGGGUAGGGGUUAAAUCCUAUAAUCCUACGAGGAUCACCUGUGGCGAAGGCGUAUGCCUGGAACGGGUCUGACGGUGAGGGACGAAAGCUAGGGGAGCGAUCGGGAUUAGAAACCCCUGUAGU
rnacentral:rRNA from 1 species